GGUUUGUGGCUCAGUGGUAGAGUGCUCGCCUAGCAUGUGUGAGGCACUGGAUUCGAUCCUCAGCACCA
rnacentral:tRNA from 1 species